UCAAAAGAGAAGGUCUGAAAAUAUGGAUAUCAAUAUUUGAAAUAAGUUGAAAUUUAUUAUCUGUUAACCGGUUAAAUAAUGAAAAAAAUGAUUUUAAGACUUGUUUAGAUUUAAUCUUGCGUUGUGAUAUGAUUUUUACGUGGUGAUAGGACGGAACUAUCCUUGGAUUGCUAAAAACGUUUGUCAAUCAAUUGAGGUGUGUUGUUCCCGCGGCUGCUGCAACAUCUCGUCAUCCGGAGGCUAAAUGGCCUCCAGCACACUUUGCCGCCACCAAACCUUCCGGGGUUAAGACCGCUAGCACGUGGUGUUGUACCCAUCCCUCCGAGGCCUUUUGGACAACUUCCAGGCGAUCUAGCAGCAGUCAGACGCACGCCUUUUAUUGCACGUUCCGGUGUGAUACCGCCCCCUCCAAGGCAGUUUGGGCAAGAUGGAGGAGAGUUAGGCGCAAAGAGGCGCGCGCCUUUUAUUGCACCUUCCGGGAAGCCCAGAAGCAACAAUACAAGUGUUUGUAGGAUUGGAGCCUCGCUGUUUAGAUUCGACAGAAAAAUGAACUAAAAAGCACUGGACUUAGAUAUUUUUGAUAGUUAAACUAAAUUGAUAAUUGAAGGAUACAUGGAUAGGUCAUAAAUAAUGGUAAUCCUGAAUUGAUUUAAAAUAUAAUAAUUUCAGUUCUUUUUAUACGUUAUGGUGCUAUCUUCAUCGUCUUUUGUAAACAAAUCAUUUGAACGUUUGCGAUGAAUGUUGUAGUGGUAAUAUUCUUCAUAUAGUAAUAAAUAAAUAUAAAAUAA